rfam:Colletotrichum higginsianum, IMI 349063, WGS project CACQ02000000 data, contig: cont1.2481
GCCCCUUUGGCUCAGUGGUAGAGCGUCGCACUCGUACUCUUGCACAACAUGCGAAGGUCCACGGUUCAAUCCCGUGAGAGGGCA